rnacentral:rRNA from 1 species
GAUGAACGCUGGCGGCGUGCCUAAUACAUGCAAGUCGAGCGAACAGACGAGGAGCUUGCUCCUCUGACGUUAGCGGCGGACGGGUGAGUAACACGUGGAUAACCUACCUAUAAGACUGGGAUAACUUCGGGAAACCGGAGCUAAUACCGGAUAAUAUAUUGAACCGCAUGGUUCAAUAGUGAAAGACGGUUUUGCUGUCACUUAUAGAUUGAUCCGCGCCGCAUUAGCUAGUUGGUAAGGUAACGGCUUACCAAGGCGACGAUGCGUAGCCGACCUGAGAGGGUGAUCGGCAACACUGGAACUGAGACACGGUCCAGACUCCUACGGGAGGCAGCAGUAGGGAAUCUUCCGCAAUGGGCGAAAGCCUGACGGAGCAACGCCGCGUGAGUGAUGAAGGUCUUCGGAUCGUAAAACUCUGUUAUUAGGGAAGAACAAAUGUGUAAGUAACUAUGCACGUCUUGACGGUACCUAAUCAGAAAGCCACGGCUAACUACGUG